AAAUUAGGCACUUGUAGAGGACUUUAGUUGUUUGGGGUUGAAAGAAAUUGAUAAAUUGAAUGAAUAUGAAUGUGAAAUCGGAGGGCAAUGAUUAGAGGAACUAAUUACUAAAUGUAGUGCUUAUAUGAGGAUUUUAACACAUUUGUAGACACGAACGGAUGGAUUUCAUUCUCUUGGGGUCUACAGGUCACUGAAGAAGGUGCUAAAUCAUGAAGGGAUACAAGGGUUGUACAAAGGGAAUGGUGCAAGUGUCUUCCGGAUUGUUCCUUAUGCGGCUUUGCAUUACAUGGCGUAUUAGAGAUACCGGUUUUGGCUGUAUGAUAAUUGUACUUCCCUGGGGACAUGACCUGUUGUAGAUCUUAUAGCCGGCUCAGCAGCCGGUGGUACUGCAAUUGUAUGAACGUACUCCUUGGACUUGGCGAGGACAAAGCUUGCUUAUCAGGUAGUGGACAAACGGUCAACUUUCAGGAGCA